CGGACGGUGUACGGCCAGUCGCCGUUCUCCUGCCGGAGCGCCUCGUCGCCGAGGUGGUCGCCGUCGGCCAGGGUGCCGACCACCGUCUCCUCGCCGUACUUGCCCGUUCCCAACCGGUUGAGCUUCCCGUACGCGAUGAUGAAGACCUCGUCGAUCGGCGCUCCGGCGGCGACCAGGACCUCACCCGCGGAGAACUCGCGUUGGACGAAGCGCCCGGCCAGCUCCUCCAGCACGGAGUCGUCCGGGAAGCCCCGCAGGACCGGCACCUCGCGCAGGGUCUGGGGCAGGAUCCGGGCCUCGCUUCCCGUCCGGUCGAAGCUCACCCGGCCGCGGCCGACGGCGUGGCGCAGCCGACGGUUGACCCGGUAGGUGCCGCCCGAGACCUGGACCCAGGGGAGCGUCCUGAGCAGCCAACGGGGGCUGAUCUCCUGCAUCUGCGGCGCGGACUUGGUCGUCGUCGCCAGGUUGCGCGCGGCCGCGGUCGCGAGACUCUGCUGGUCCCGG
rnacentral:antisense_RNA from 1 species